CAUACAAGGCAACGAUGAACCACAGUUUGGAUGCACAUCACUGCUGGUUCUACAUUUCAGAGACACUGUCUGUCCUGGGAGUACAGCUUCACUGGCAGGAGUCUGAGUCACAGUGUACUGACCUCUGGAUUCGGAAAAAGAGAGGAUAAAAAAAGUUGUACAUCAUCAGGUGAAUUUCUGCAGGAGUUCCAUCGCAACAUUCAGGGUCCAAAUCCAAACAAAAAACUGAUGGACAACUGUGACUCCAAGGUCCAAAGAAUUAAGCAGUUCCUCUGGUUCAUGGGGAGUGACGAGUGCUAUCCUUCCAAUCUUUGUUUUCUCACUAACACUAUGAAAAUAAUAGCAUAAGUACAGAUUGAUUUUAAUUCAGUCUAGUAAGUGUUCAAGCCUAAGUCCAAUUACUGAUAUUUUGAUUUCACUGCGUUUGUGUGUGUGUGUGUGUGUUUGCUUUAUGUGUCUUUCAGAUGGGUCAAGGACCUUGAGGCCACGAAAGCUAUCACCACUGUGGAGUAUUACACCAAGAGUGUGGCCCAUUUUUUAAGAUUUGCUGAAGAGACCCAACCAGCAUCCAGCAGGCUGACCAAGAACCAGUGGCGAGGGGUGAACCAUAAAUUUAAGGGAAUAACCAAGUCCCUUCAGCGCCAGAUCACCAUUCACCAGGGGCAUGUAAAGGAAAAGGAGACGAACGUUGUCUCCAAGAAAGUCCGCAUUGAGUGCCAGUGCCUAUCAAAGUCUAAGAUCCCUGAGAUUUUAGUUACCUUGGAGGAGUCCCGGACGCAGAGGGACCAUUUCCGGUUCUAUGGAUACAUCUGCGCCUACUUUUCCUCGACUUAUGGCCACAGACCAGGUGUCUUCAAAAACAUGCUCAUAAAAGAGGUUGAGGAGGCAAAAAGGGACCAGAGUGGGAUCGUUUUGAACAACGAAAGUCCAUCCUCUUUGGCCUGAAUAGAUUUACUAUUUAGGCCAAAUGUUUAUAUUAUUUGGCUUUUUUUGUACAACAACUGCACGUGCAUAGGAGGUGUUUUGUGUGUCAUUAUUUAAAAGGUGGAGGAACAUAAAACAAACAAAGAGUUUGGGACAUGCUAGCUCGCCCUGACAGAGGAGGAGUACGGGUGGUUCCAGAACUUCCUCCAGUUCUAUAGGUUCCGGGGGGGAAGAAUCUCACAGCUGUCUUAAAUCAAUGACUGAUUGACUGUCUUCUCUUGUGUGUGUGUGUAUUACAGUGCAAGAACACCCUUGCAAAAACAGACCGGGACACAGUGGCUCGAUUCAUGUGCCAUGACACCAGGACGGCGGACAGGUUUUACACUAUCAGCCUCAACCCGACCCAGGCAAUGGAGGUUAGGUCCCUUUUCCAGGCAGCUUUGGAGGGCGAGGACCAGAUACCACUGAGCCAGAGCCACCCCACAAACUCAGACAAGAGUGGGCAGUCAAGACCAUCAGAAACAAGCAAAGAAAAGGCACCGGAAGACAAGUCCCUCUCUGAGGGUUUACUUGCUGUGCCUGCAGACACCUUCCAAGAGACCACCAACGGAAAGCAAAGAGCACCCCACGCCCUCCAAGCUGCAUUUGACAGACAGGCGCAGUGUCGUGGUCUACAUCACCCCAAUGAAGAUUUCCCCGCUGAAGUUGAAGAGCAAAUCUACAAACGUCUCACCUAUCAUGACCCAGCAGGGGAUGAGGCAGCUGAGAUCAACAAACGCCCGGCUCAGGAGGGCCAUUGCCUCAAGGAGGUUAAAAAUGGAAAAUAAGCCCAAAGAGACUGUCCCACCCCACCGCCCAGAGAAGGUGAGUCAACCUCUGGUCAAGCAGAGGAAGACAUGGGCAGCACAUCUUGAUUGACAGUAUAGGUUGGACACUGACAAAAUGUUGUACAUUAUACUUUUCAUUUGUUCCAUUGUGUUUUUUUACCUGUUCUAUUUGGAAAUGUAGAAGUUUUUUGAGUAAUUAUUCUGUUUGGAGUUGUAUUUCAGACCUUGUUUGAUGUAUGUCAAUUUGUUGUCAGUAUAAGUUUUGAGUGGGCACUGUCUGGUGUUGGUUCUCUGAACCAGUUUGAGUCCAAUACAAUUUUCUUAGUGUUUCAGUCUCUCAGAGACAUAAACACUAAGAGAUACCUUUUUGCUCAAAAACAUUCCUGAGCCAAAUUGAUCUAUUGAGUUUGACAGUUAGUACAUUUAGGGUUGAAAGUGUAAUAACACCGUAACAAUAUAUUUCUCUAAAAAAAAAAAAAAGUCAACUGAUGAGAAUAAACAGAAACAAUUCAACUAUUAAUUGCAAAAAAGAAAAGUCAAUAUAAAAGAACAAUUUCAACAAUAAAUAAAUGACACUUUAUCAAUAACAACAAUUAAUAUUUAAACAAGAACAGAUGUGCCAACAACAACAACCCUGUUUAUGCCACUUUUGUCAAUUAUAAAUACUUCAAUUGAACUAUGUACAGUUAAGCCAAAAAGUAUUCAUACCCCUUCCCGUAGUGAAUUUUUAUUUGACCA